rnacentral:rRNA from 1 species
AACUGGGAUUAGAUACCCCACUAUGCCUAGCCGUAAACUUUUAUUUACACUUCAUCGCCAGGGAACUACGAGCCAAGCUUAAAACCCAAAGGACUUGACGGUACCCCAUAUCCCCCUAGAGGAGCCUGUCCUAUAAUCGAUAACCCACGUUUAACCUUACCUCUUCUAGUUAAUCAGCCUGUAUACCUCCGUCGCCAGCUUACCACGUGAGCGUAAAUUAGUGAGCCUAAUGUAUUUCACCAGCACGUCAGGUCAAGGUGCAGCAAAUGAAGCGGAAAGAGAUGGGCUACACUUUCUAUUUUAGAAAAGACGAAAAACUACCUAUGAAAUCUAGUUAGAAGGCGGAUUUAGCAGUAAAAAGGAAUCAGCAUGUCCAUUUUAACCCGGCACUGGGGUGUGUACACACCGCCCGUCACC